CCAACACUUGGUGGCUAAAUGUGUUUGCUGUAAGCAACCACGUCUGGCUGCCUUUGUGGCAAGUAGGAGCUGAAUGCCUCUCACGGGGCUUGAGGUGUGGUCCUUUUCCACAGUGUUGGACACUAACUCUGUCCCCCGAAGCUCUCGUCGGGUGUGGACUGGCUUCUGCAUAUUCCAUAGACUUCCCAUAGUCAUUUAUUGGCUGUUGUGGGAAGACAAACCAUGCAGAUGACAUUU